rnacentral:lncRNA from 1 species
AAACUGUGAGAGACACCAUGUCAAGGAAGCAGUGUGAGCUAGCGUCUAAGGAUUGUGAAAACUGAGCAAGUGCCCAGAACUAGAAACUUCCCAGCCCCCUGAACUCAGCCUCAGGGCUUGGUGGAGUUUCAAGAUGCUGAUGAACUUAAGGUCUGGCGCUUGAAAGAAUCAGUGAAGCUUUUCAAGUAGAGGAGGUUCUAGAUGAAUGACUGAUGAAGACACAACAGCACGGUGGUGAGGCCAUUGAAUGCUUCUAAGACUGCACUUGGCAACAUCACAAGCUGCAGAAUCCCGUGCCACAUAUGACCUGCUGUUCACCGGUUCUUGCCAGGAUCACACCUGAGAAGAGGAAGAUAAUGGAGAUGGAAGACUUGGGAUGCUCAGGGUCCUGCUAGCCUUCAAACUGCAGGACUCUGAGCAUCCCAAGUCUUACCAUGAGUUGCUAAAAGAGAACCAGACCCAUGUUUAUCCCUUUGAAAGAAACCUGAACCAAGCCAUUCCUCUGGACUGUUCUUCCAUCCACUGGACCAAUAACUCAUAGUUUGAAGGAUUUUUACUUAAUGGAAGUGAGAAAACAGCCAGAUCAAAAGAAUUUCCAGGAGCCAAGACAGAAAACAUGCAGAGCAUUAGACAGCCUAAAUGGAGCUGGCUAGAUAUGACUCCAGUUGUGACCAAGCCAUAGUGCCCCCUAAGCUGGGUGAAGAGAACGGUGCCCAUCAGGCCAGAGAGAGCUGAAAGGGCCGUGAGGAUGCUAAGCAGGGAGUCUCCAACCCCCUGGGUACAGGCAUAGCCAGUGAUGAUGCCGCCAGACCCCAGAACUGUCAUGUAGAGGAAGACCAAGCACAAGCCAGCUAAGAAGACCAUCUGCCUGCAGUAGGCUUCCCAUCCCUCAUGGCACAUGCAGAGCAGCCUUUGCAUGUUUUAAAGGUGAAAAGGAGGCCGGGCGCAGUGGCUCAUGCCUAUAAUCCCAGCACUUUGGGAGGCCGAGGCAGACGGAUCACGAGGUCAGGAGAUCGAGGCCAUCCUGGCUAACACGGUGAAACCCCGUCUCUACUAAAAAUACAAAACAUCAGCCGGGCAUGGUGGUGGGCGCCUGUAUUCCCAGCUACUCGAGAGGCUGAGGCGGGACAAUGGCGUGAAUCCGGGAGGCGGAGCUUGCAGUGAGUCGAGAUCGCGCCACUGCACUCCAGCCUGGGUGACAGAGCGAGACUCUGUCUCAAAAAAAAAAAAAAAAAAAAAAGGUGAAAAGGAAAACCUGUGUUUGUGGUCUGUUCUUCAAGGUUAAACUUGUGGUCCUUUGGCUUUUCCAAAGGCCUAGGCUUGUAGACGAAUCCAUCAUUAAUUUCCCAACAGUCCAUUUCACCCAAAACAAAAUCCAAACAAGCUUU